GCCCACCCUAGUCUCAGCUGGCGCCCCGACGAACCCAGAUACGGUCUCUUCCUAGUCCGCUCCGGAAAUGCGACUGCGUACGCGCUGGACACAUAAUCGUGACGUCAGCGCGCCCGCGCCGGCUGGCCGAACGCCCUAGCCUUCGGCGAGAUCUUUGGUGCGGUUAACGGCUGCUUUACGCCACGGCAGUGCUGCGUUUGGGUUGUCUCCUGCAGGCUGUUUGGACCUGCUCACGAUUCCACAAUGUACCACAACAGUAGCCAGAAGCGGCACUGGACUUUCUCCAGUGAGGAGCAGCUGGCAAGACUGCGGGCCGACGCCAACCGCAAAUUCAGAUGCAAAGCGGUGGCCAACGGGAAGGUUCUUCCGAAUGAUCCAGUCUUUCUUGAGCCUCAUGAAGAAAUGACACUCUGCAAAUACUAUGAGAAAAGGUUAUUGGAAUUCUGCUCGGUGUUUAAGCCAGCAAUGCCAAGGUCUGUUGUGGGUACAGCUUGUAUGUAUUUCAAACGUUUUUAUCUUAAUAACUCAGUAAUGGAAUAUCACCCCAGGAUAAUAAUGCUCACUUGUGCAUUUUUGGCCUGCAAAGUAGAUGAAUUCAAUGUAUCUAGUCCUCAGUUUGUUGGAAACCUUCGGGAGAGUCCUCUUGGACAGGAGAAGGCACUUGAACAGAUACUGGAAUAUGAACUACUUCUUAUACAGCAACUUAAUUUCCACCUUAUUGUCCACAAUCCUUACAGACCAUUUGAGGGCUUCCUCAUCGACUUAAAGACUCGCUAUCCCAUAUUGGAGAAUCCAGAGAUUUUGAGGAAAACAGCUGAUGACUUUCUUAAUAGAAUUGCAUUGACGGAUGCCUACCUUUUAUACACACCUUCCCAAAUUGCCCUGACUGCCAUUUUAUCUAGUGCCUCCAGGGCUGGAAUUACUAUGGAAAGUUAUUUAUCAGAGAGUCUGAUGCUGAGAGAGAACAGAACUUGCCUGUCACAGUUACUAGAUAUAAUGAAAAGCAUGAGAAACUUAGUAAAAAAGUAUGAACCACCCAGAUCUGAAGAAGUUGCUGUUCUGAAACAGAAGUUGGAGCGAUGUCAUUCUGCUGAGCUUGCACUUAAUGUAAUCACGAAGAAGAGGAAAGGCUAUGAAGAUGAUGAUUACGUCUCAAAGAAAUCCAAACAUGAGGAGGAAGAAUGGACUGACGACGACCUGGUAGAAUCUCUCUAACCAUUUGAAGUUGAUUUCUCAAUGCUAACUAAUCAAGAGAAGAAAACUGGCUUGAAGGAAUUCCGAGUAAUUCAAGUGUCCUAAAUCUAAUUAAAUUGCACAGAUACACACACCUCCUCAGUCUCAGUACAUCCCAGGCUGUACUUUCCAGAAAGGUAAGUACCAUUAUAAUUACAUCUACUUUAAGGCAAUGCUUACUAUGUGCAUAUUCAUCUCUCUAACAAUUCUUUAAACUGUAGGCUUGAGUUUUGUGGGGUGUUUUUUUUGUUUUGUUUUGUUUUUUUUCCCCUCAUUCUGGAGUCAAAGGAAUAAAAUUCAUGACAUGAGAUUUUACAAAAGCAGAGUGGAAGAAGCCAAAAGUUAUAAAUCCUCCAUCGUGGUCCUAGUUAAGUACAUUGCUGCUAGGCUCUAGACAGAAUUACAAGAUGUUCACAGUUUUUCUCAUUUUCCCUUUCAGAUCGCCAAACUUUGGCAUCAGAGCAAGGUCCACACUUAUCACUGAAAAUUUUCCCACCCAGCCCCAUUAAAAAAGUUAAAGUGUGAGAGAUUUUAUUUCAACACUGACAAGCUAGUUACUACAGGGCCUACAAAGAGUAUCGUGCUCGAACACGCAGGGACCCUGGUUCAAUACCUUUUAAUGGUAUAUGGGAGCUGAGCAGAAACCAUUCAUCUGUGGCAUGCCCUUUCUGUAAUCGGCUCAACUGGCAGCGCAUAAAUACUUGGGAAGAAAAACAAGCAAUUAUUGUCUAAAAAGAUAACAUGAUAAUUAGUCAUGCAAGUAAAUUUUUCUGGUGUUCAGUCUUCUCUAUGGUGUUAAAUGCUUUUCAUUAAAGGAGUUUCCAAUAACAUCACAAA